rnacentral:rRNA from 1 species
AUGCAAGGCGUCGUCUUAGCCUUGCCUUCCCAGGAUCGCUCCCACACCUGUCACGUUCAUGAUCAACCUCCUCAAAUGUGUAUCGGUCGAAAGGCAGGGCGGCAAAGCCCCCGACUGACGGGACUAGUUACGUCCAGUAUGACCCCCUCGAUUCCCGACAUGCUAUGAUACCCAGGGUGGGUAGGAGCGGGUCGGGUCUGUAUCACCGCAGAACAACUGCAGUGUCCGGAUCUGAUCUAUCUACUCGGCAAUUCAUCCGGUGACUUCACGGUCGCCAAAGAAGCCCCAAGAAGCAUCAAACAUUUCCGAUGA